UCUAUGCAUGGUGGUGCAUGGCCGUUCUUAGUUGGUGGAAUGAUCUGUCAGGUUAAUUCCGAUAACGAACGAGACCCCAGCCAUCUAACUAGCUGUUACUACUUCGGUAGUGUUUGCGCAAGCAUAAACAGCUUCUUAGAGGGACUAUCUGUGUCAGCAGGUGGAAGUUUGGGGCAAUAACAGGUCAGUGAUGCCCUUAGAUGCUCUGGGCUGCACGCGCGCUACAAUGGUGCAUUCAGCGAGUUUAACCUUGCUUGAAAAAGCUGGGUAAUCUUUAAAAUGCAUCUCAGUUGGGAUAGAUGAUUGCAAUUAUUCAUCUUGAACAAGGAAUAUCUAGUAAACGCAAGUCAUCAACUUGCAUUGAUUACGUCCCUGCCCUUUGUACACACCGCCCGUCGCUCCUACCGAUUGAAUAAUCCGGUGAAUUGAGUGGGUUGGGGCACGUGUCUCAGCUUCGGUUGAGAUCAGUGCCCCAAGAAGCUCUGUGAACCUUAUUAUUUAGAGGAAGGAGAAGUCGUAACAAGGUUUCCGUAGGUGAACCUGCG
rnacentral:sRNA from 1 species